rnacentral:lncRNA from 1 species
CAAGGAAGGGCCCGCUGAAGCUCUCGGGCUUGCCGGUGGCGACGAGCUGCUUGACGGUGAAGAGGAAGGGCACGCGCUCGCCUCCGGGGAGCUGCACGGUGACGGCCGCAUAGUCGAUGCCGUCCUUCUCCUCGAACUUGAGGGUGCCGUCGGCGCCGACCUCGAGCGGGCCUUCCAUCUCGUCAAGGGUGUAGGUGAGACGGGUCAUGAGCUUGGUCUUCUGGAAGGCCGGCGGCUCGUUCUUCUGGAUGCCCUCGGCCUUGACGGUGAAGGAGGUGGGCUCCAGGCAGAACUUCUUCAUCUCGUACUUGCCGGCCUUGAAGGGGAAGGAGUCGACGCCGCCGUCGAUGGUCGGGCACUGGUUCGCGGUGCCGGUACCCUUCACCUCCAUGUAGGUCUUGCUCUGGAUCUCGUCGAAGGUCAGCCUCUUGGGC